AGAGUUUGAUCCUGGCUCAGGAUGAACGCUGGCGGCGUGCCUAAUACAUGCAAGUCGAGCGAACGGACGAGAAGCUUGCUUCUCUGAUGUUAGCGGCGGACGGGGGAGAAACACGUGGAUAACCUACCUAUAAGACUGGGAUAACUUCGGGAAACCGGAGCUAAUACCGGAUAAUAUUUUGAACCGCAUGGUUCAAAAGUGAAAGACGGUCUUGCUGUCACUUAUAGAUGGAUCCGCGCUGCAUUAGCUAGUUGGUAAGGUAACGGCUUACCAAGGCAACGAUGCAUAGCCGACCUGAGAGGGUGAUCGGCCACACUGGAACUGAGACACGGUCCAGACUCCUACGGGAGGCAGCAGUAGGGAAUCUUCCGCAAUGGGCGAAAGCCUGACGGAGCAACGCCGCGUGAGUGAUGAAGGUCUUCGGAUCGUAAAACUCUGUUAUUAGGGAAGAACAUAUGUGUAAGUAACUGUGCACAUCUUGACGGUACCUAAUCAGAAAGCCACGGCUAACUACGUGCCAGCAGCCGCGGUAAUACGUAGGUGGCAAGCGUUAUCCGGAAUUAUUGGGCGUAAAGCGCGCGUAGGCGGUUUUUUAAGUCUGAUGUGAAAGCCCACGGCUCAACCGUGGAGGGUCAUUGGAAACUGGAAAACUUGAGUGCAGAAGAGGAAAGUGGAAUUCCAUGUGUAGCGGUGAAAUGCGCAGAGAUAUGGAGGAACACCAGUGGCGAAGGCGACUUUCUGGUCUGUAACUGACGCUGAUGUGCGAAAGCGUGGGGAUCAAACAGGAUUAGAUACCCUGGUAGUCCACGCCGUAAACGAUGAGUGCUAAGUGUUAGGGGGUUUCCGCCCCUUAGUGCUGCAGCUAACGCAUUAAGCACUCCGCCUGGGGAGUACGACCGCAAGGUUGAAACUCAAAGGAAUUGACGGGGACCCGCACAAGCGGUGGAGCAUGUGGUUUAAUUCGAAGCAACGCGAAGAACCUUACCAAAUCUUGACAUCCUUUGACAACUCUAGAGAUAGAGCCUUCCCCUUCGGGGGACAAAGUGACAGGUGGUGCAUGGUUGUCGUCAGCUCGUGUCGUGAGAUGUUGGGUUAAGUCCCGCAACGAGCGCAACCCUUAAGCUUAGUUGCCAUCAUUAAGUUGGGCACUCUAAGUUGACUGCCGGUGACAAACCGGAGGAAGGUGGGGAUGACGUCAAAUCAUCAUGCCCCUUAUGAUUUGGGCUACACACGUGCUACAAUGGACAAUACAAAGGGCAGCGAAACCGCGAGGUCAAGCAAAUCCCAUAAAGUUGUUCUCAGUUCGGAUUGUAGUCUGCAACUCGACUACAUGAAGCUGGAAUCGCUAGUAAUCGUAGAUCAGCAUGCUACGGUGAAUACGUUCCCGGGUCUUGUACACACCGCCCGUCACACCACGAGAGUUUGUAACACCCGAAGCCGGUGGAGUAACCUUUUAGGAGCUAGCCGUCGAAGGUGGGACAAAUGAUUGGGGUGAAGUCGUAACAAGGUAGCCGUAUCGGAAGGUGCGGCUGGAUCACCU
rnacentral:rRNA from 1 species